rnacentral:rRNA from 1 species
CGAGUACGAGAUGCUACGGCGUCGAAGCAGUCUAGGUCAUACUUCCAAGAAAAGCUUGCACUGUCAUAAACAAAGAAUGCCUGUACCAUAACCGACACAGGUGGGUAGGUAGAGUAUACUAAGGGGCGCGAGAUAACUCUCUCUAAGGAACUCGGCAAAAUGACUCCGUAACUUCGGGAGAAGGAGUGCCUUAUUUUUAAGGUUGCAAUAACAAGAUCCAAGCAACUGUUUACCAAAAACACAGGUCUCCGCUAAGUCGUAAGACGAUGUAUGGGGGCUGACGCCUGCCCAGUGCCAGAAGGUUAAAGAAGUUGGUUAGCAUUUGCGAAGCUGAUAACUGAAGCCCUGGUGAACGGCGGCCGUAACGAUAACGGUCCUAAGGUAGCGAAAUUCCCUGUCGGGUAAGUUCCGACCCGCACGAAGGCGUAAUGAUUUGGAUACUGUCUCGGAGAGGGGCUCGGUGAAAUACACUUGUCUGUGAAGAUGCGGACUACCUGCACCUGGACAGAAAGACCCUAUGAAGCUUUACUGUAACUUGAGAUUGAAAUUGGACUUUAUUUGCGCAGUAUAGGUGGGAGGCGUUGAGAAUAAUCUUGCGGGAUUAUCGGAGCCAUCAGUGAGAUACCACUCUUGUAAUGUUAGAUUUCUAACUUUGUAUCAUUAUCUGGUCAAAGAACAGUUUCAGGCGGGCAGUUUGACUGGGGCGGUCGCCUCCCAAAGGGUAACGGAGGCGCACAAAGGUUUCCUCUGAACGGGUAGAAAUCGUAUCUAGAGUGUAAAGGCAUAAGGAAGCUUGACUGUGAGACCUACAAGUCGAGCAGGGACGAAAGUCGGUCUUAGUGAUCUGACGGUGCUGAGUGGAAAGGCCGUCACUCAACGGAUAAAAGUUACUCUAAGGAUAACAGGCUGAUCUCCCCCAAGAGUUCACAUCGACGGGGAGGUUUGGCACCUCGAUGUCGGCUCAUCGCAUCCUGGGGCGGUAGUACGUCCCAAGGGUUGGGCUGUUCGCCCAUGAAAGCGGUACGCGAGCUGGGUUCAGAACGUCGUGAGACAGUUCGGUCCAUAUCCGGUGUAGGCGUUAGAAUAUUGAAAGGAGCCUUCUCUAGUACGAGAGGACCGAGAAGGACAUACCUCUGGUGUGCCAGUUAUCGUGCCAACGGUAAACGCUGGGUAGCUAUGUAUGGAGUGGAUAACCGCUGAAAGCAUCUAAGUGGAAAGCCCACCUUAAGAUAAG